ensembl:snRNA U1 U1 spliceosomal RNA
AUACUUACCUGGCAAGGGAGACACCGUGAUCACGAAGGCGGUUCACCCAGGGCGAGGCUCAGCCAUUGCACAUUGCACUCCGGAAUGUGUUAAAUUCGGAGUUCUAUUGAGUUUCGUGUUGAGAAGGAGAUUUUUUACUUAUCAGAUGAACAGACUGGGGUCUGUUUAUA